AUCGCUGGUCGGAAGCGUGCCAUGCUUCAUCCCUCCGGUUACCCAGGAAUCGUGGGAGCUGCAACAGGUGGAAAGCCUCCAACAGCUCGACGUGGGGGCUCAAUGGGCUGGUGUGACCCGGCUGUACGGACGUUGAGACUUUCGGAUCCGGUAUGAGACUUGCAGGUGGCCUUGGUUUCUUGGACAGGCACAGAGGGCUAACUCCCUACUGGUUUGCAUGCGGAACUUGUUCGAUUUCUUCCGGGGCGGUUCGGAUUGGGUGGAUGCGCUGGGGAUAUCGCAUUGGACGGCAGCCUCGCGUUGACGGUGAUGAGACUGACAAGUACAAUUUCUGGUUAAUGUACCUAGCAGGCCGCAACUGCUGCAGAAGAGAAUCGGGGUACCGGUGCAGUGUGCUCGACUGUGUUCCCCUUGGCCACAUCUCCAACACAUAUUAGGGCGAAGUUCUAAGUAGACAUUGGGCCCCAUUGUGCCAACUGUACGUACUCGGGCUGGAAUCUUGGUUGUUAUUUGACGGUUAUCUGGACGGUUGUUGUGUCGGUGGAUAUCAUGUUGACGAUUAUCCGGUUGUUUGGAAAUCUUCCCCUUGUUUAUGAAAUAACGUUUAUCUUGCUUAUUUCUCUUUUCAGUUGGAAAGUCUACUUCCAUUGCAUUCCGCCUCUGAGCCGGAACAGCCGCCUGUUGUAGUUCCUGCUUCCUGGGUGAUGAUGUGGAACGGUCGGUGACAGCGGAAGAGGUGUUUGGUUUGGGGCGACCAAAUGCUUUGAGUGCCCCCAACGGCAACGGCACAGGACGGGGAGGAGAUUCCGGUUCCUGGUCUUUUAGUGGCUCGACAAGACCCAGCUCCUCGUCCAGUCGUUCCAGAAAGUCUGAGUCGCUCAUGUUGCUGCCGUCAGACGGUAUUCUGAAAAGAGGAAGAUAGUUCUUACGGUUUCAAUCCACUGGCACCCAGAGACGGUGGGCAGUGCCGGAGGGAAACCUGAGCUUCAGCCGGAGCCGGCGUUUGCCCUUGACGGUGGUCGGUAUCAGGGCGAUGACCUCAGUCCGAAGACUGGG